rnacentral:rRNA from 1 species
UACGUAGGGGGCUAGCGUUGUCCGGAUUUAUUGGGCGUAAAGAGCGUGUAGGCGGCCAGGUAGGUCUGCUGUGAAAACUCGAGGCUCAACCUCGAGACGUCGGCAGAAACCAUCUGGCUAGAGUCCGGAAGAGGAGAGUGGAAUUCCUGGUGUAGCGGUGAAAUGCGCAGAUAUCAGGAAGAACACCCGUGGCGAAGGCGGCUCUCUGGGACGGUACUGACGCUGAGACGCGAAAGCGUGGGGAGCGAACAGG